AAUCCAUGGUAUGGGCACUUCCUUAGCAUCGACUUGAAAUGUUCUCAUGCCUCGUAAAGGGACUUACCUUCAUAUUGAUUAAAAUUAGCAAUUUUACACCUAAGCU
rfam:Gossypium raimondii Chr04_contig_848, whole genome shotgun sequence.